GUCUUCGUGGUGUAGUGGUCAGCACGCUCGACGCGUAACCGAGAGGUCCGUGGUUCGAUUCCCGGCGAGGGCA
rnacentral:tRNA from 1 species